UACGUAGGGGCAAGCGUUGUCCGGAAUCAUUGGGCGUAAAGAGCGUGUAGGCGGCCCGGUAAGUCCGCUGUAAAAGUCAAAGGCUCAACCUUUGAAUGUCAGUGGAUACUGCCGGGCUAGAGUCCGGAAGAGGCGAGUGGAACUCCUGGUGUAGCGGUGGAAUGCGCGAGAUAUCAGGAAGAACACCAACGGCGAAGGCAGCUCGCUGGGACGGUACUGACGCUGAGACGCGAAAGCGUGGGGAGCGAACAGG
rnacentral:rRNA from 1 species